GUGAAUCAUCAAAUUUUUGAACGCAAAUUGCACUCUCUUCGGAGAGUAUGCCUGUUUGAGGGUCAGCCUAAAAAAAAUCGACAUAGUUCCUGUUCCGCGUUACCAUUCGUCGGAAAUUGGGUCACCUUAAACCUUUGGGUUUAACCGGCUUAAAUUUUUCUUUACAAUCCCAAGAACGUUCCUAAGUUUUUAUUUUCUUAUCCGUUUAAGGUAUCGAUUUUUUUUAGACGUGCCGUUUC
rnacentral:misc_RNA from 1 species